rnacentral:rRNA from 1 species
CAGUCGCCGCGGUAAAACGUAGGUCCCGAGCGUUGUCCGGAUUUAUUGGGCGUAAAGCGAGCGCAGGCGGUUAGAUAAGUCUGAAGUUAAAGGCUGUGGCUUAACCAUAGUACGCUUUGGAAACUGUUUAACUUGAGUACAAGAGGGGAGAGUGGAAUUCCAUGUGUAGCGGUGAAAUGCGUAGAUAUAUGGAGGAACACCGGUGGCGAAAGCGGCUCUCUGGCUUGUAACUGACGCUGAGGCUCGAAAGCGUGGGGAGCAAACAGGAUUAGAUACCCGUGUAGUCCCUGUCUCUUAUACA